AUGAGGUACUUGAGAGGGGGGAACACUUGGAAGCACCACUUUGGAACAAGCUCAAAGUUGCAAUGUCCCAUAUUGUUCAUGAUGUCAACGUAGAGGAUAUAGCCGACUAUUGUUAUGAGCGAUCCCUUCCCCAUAAAGAUGGAGGUCAAUAUUGGGAUGGAAAACAGUAAGAAAUAGAUGAUGUGCUCCGCGAACGGAUGGAUCACAGAUGUGAUAGGUUCGGUGACAAUUGAAGCAUGGUGGUGGGAGUGGUAGCGAGAGUAGAGGUAGUGGUGAUGGAGGGCCCGGUGGAACCAAUAAUAGAGAAACUCGACCGGACCUAUAUGGGCAACAAUGAUGAUUAAGAAGCCAUCAGUGCUCCACCAUGGGAGAAACUUUGCGCUGGGGAUUAAUGUGUAACCGAUGUAGAACAAUAUUCCAUUGAAAAGAACUUGAUCGUCCCAGGUGCGCUCGCGGUCCACCUGCUCGAACUCGAUGGGCUUGUCAACUAUGAGGUGUGGGCUGCGGGCAUUCUGGAAGCGGGAGUAGCUGAUCCAUAGCUGAUUAUGCAACAUUCUCAGUAGGAGGGAGGGGACUACGAGCAUGUAAGUGAUGUCGAUCUCCGACCAGUCCUUUGCCUUUACCACCGUGUAUAGGCUGUGCGCCACCCACGGAGUCAGAAUCACAUACUUGAAGUUGCCAAGCUUCUCCCAUGGCCAGUGAGUGAGCAAUCCAGGACUGGAAGCCAUUAGAGAA
rnacentral:misc_RNA from 1 species